AUUGAACGCUGGCGGCAUGCCUUACACAUGCAAGUCGAACGGCAGCACGGGAGCAAUCCUGGUGGCGAGUGGCGAGCGGGUGAGCAAUGUAUCGGAACGUGCCCAGUCGUGGGGGAUCACGUAGCGAAAGCUACUCUAAUACCGCACACGAUCUGGGGAUUAAAGUGGGGGCGCGUAAGUCCGCGCGCGAUUGGAGCGGCCGAUAUCAGAUUAGGCAGUUGGUGGGGUAAAGGCCUACCAAGCCGACGAUCUGUAGCUGGUCUGAGAGGACGACCAGCCACACUGGGACUGAGACACGGCCCAGACUCCUACGGGAGGCAGCAGUGGGGAAUUUUGGACAAUGGGCGCAAGCCUGAUCCAGCAAUGCCGCGUGCAGGAUGAAGGCCUUCGGGUUGUAAACUGCUUUUGUACGGAGCGAAAAGGCUCUCUCUAAUACAGGGGGCUCAUGACGGUACCGUAAGAAUAAGCACCGGCUAACUACGUGCCAGCCGCCGCAGUAA
rnacentral:rRNA from 1 species